UACGUAGGGGGCUAGCGUUGUCCGGAAUCAUUGGGCGUAAAGAGCGUGUAGGCGGCUCGGUAAGUCCGCUGUGAAAGUCCAGGGCUCAACCCUGGAAUGCCCAGUGGAAACUGUCGAGCUAGAGUCCGGAAGAGGCGAGUGGAAUUCCUGGUGUAGCGGUGAAAUGCGCAGAUAUCAAGGAGGAACACCGGUGGCGAAGGCGGGUCUCUGGGCCGAUAUGACGCUGAGGAGCGAAAGCAUGGGAGCGAACAGG
rnacentral:rRNA from 1 species